UACGUAGGAGGCGAGCGUUGUCCGGAGUUACUGGGCGUAAAGCGCACGCAGGCGGUCAGAUCAGUCUGGAGUGACAGUCGUCGGCUUAACCGACGAAGUGUUCUGGAAACUGUCUGACUUGAGGGCUUCAGAGGGACACGGAAUUCCGGGUGGAGUGGUGAAAUGCGUAGAUAUCCGGAGGAACACCAAUGGCGAAGGCAGUGUCCUGGGAAGUACCGUG
rnacentral:rRNA from 1 species